rnacentral:rRNA from 1 species
UACAGAGGUGGCAAGCGUUGUUCGGAAUUACUGGGCGUAAAGGGCGCGUAGGCGGCCUACUAAGUCAGACGUGAAAUCCCCCGGCUUAACCUGGGAACUGCGUCUGAUACUGGAAGGCUUGAGGAUGGGAGAGGGAUGUAGAAUUCCAGGUGUAGCGGUGAAAUGCGUAGAUAUCUGGAGGAAUACCGGUGGCGAAGGCGGCAUCCUGGACCAUUACUGACGCUGAGGCGCGAAAGCUAGGGGAGC